UUUUUCUAGUCGAUGGGAUGAUGUGUGGAUUCUUAAUGCCGAUGAGGCCGCGUUAAGAACGAGCUGAGGAACUGCAUGUAUUGCAGUCCGCUUUUGGUGAUUUGAAACAGGGCAGAGACGGUGAACUUUAAUAAUUUAAGUCAUACACCUGGAAAUGUUUCCAGAGCUGUUCAAGCUAAUAAUCUCAGUGGAGGACCCUUCCAGGGACUUGAAUCAGCAAGCAUCACUCCGCCCCAGGCGACACCGUGGGUGAAGGAUCUGGGCACAGAUGCGGAACGGCAGGUGAAGUCAGCCUGAUUCUGGCCGAGGGUUCUGCCUGGUUCUGUUUCCCUGGGAUGGAUGCGGGGCCCCGCCCAGGCUGCUAGCCUCCUGGGGAAUUGAUGACCAUGACCUUCAAGGCAAAAUAACAGCAGGAAAAAUGAACGGUUCGCAGGCUCUGGGAAAGGGAGGGGGCUUAGUUAUAUUCUUAUUUGCUUUGUUUGAGAAGCAGUGCGGCUGAUCGUUAAUUGCUAAUAGGCCUGUUCCCGUUAUGAAUUUUGAAUGCAGUAGGUCCAUUAAUUAACAUCUCGGUCCCAAAUGGACCACAGCUCUCCUGCUGCUG